rnacentral:rRNA from 1 species
CUGAUCUAGCCAUGCCGCGUGUGUGAUGAAGGCCCUAGGGUCGUAAAGCACUUUCGCCAGAGAUGAUAAUGACAGUAUCUGGUAAAGAAACCCCGGCUAACUCCGUGCCAGCAGCCGCGGUAAUACGGAGGGGGUUAGCGUUGUUCGGAAUUACUGGGCGUAAAGCGCACGUAGGCGGAUUAGUAAGUUAGAGGUGAAAUCCCAGGGCUCAACCCUGGAACUGCCUUUAAUACUGCUAGUCUUGAGUUCGAGAGAGGUAAGUGGAAUUCCGAGUGUAGAGGUGAAAUUCGUAGAUAUUCGGAGGAACACCAGUGGCGAAGGCGGCUUACUGGCUCGAUACUGACGCUGAGGUGCGAAAGUGUGGGGAGCAAACAGGAUUAGAUACCCUGGUAGUCCACACCGUAAACGAUGAAUGCCAGACGUCAGCAAGUAUACUUGUUGGUGUCACACCUAACGGAUUAAGCAUUCCGCCUGGGGAGUACGGUCGCAAGAUUAAAACUCAAAGGAAUUGACGGGGGCCCGCACAAGCGGUGGAGCAUGUGGUUUAAUUCGACGCAACGCGCAGAACCUUACCAACCCUUGACAUACUUGUCGCGGAUUCCAGAGAUGGAUUCCUUCAGUUCGGCUGGACAAUGUACAGGUGCUGCAUGGCUGUCGUCAGCUCGUGUCGUGAGAUGUUCGGUUAAGUCCGGCAACGAGCGCAACCCACGUCCUUAGUUACCAGCAUUUAGUUGGGUACCCUAAGGAGACUGCCGGUGAUAAGCCGGAGGAAGGUGUGGACGACGUCAAGUCAUCAUGGCCCUUACGGGUUGGGCUACACACGUGCUACAAUGGCAUCUACAGUGAGUUAAUCUCCAAAAGAUGUCUCA